UUAUUCCGGCGUAAACUUUGCUUUUUUGGCUGCUUGAGGAGUACGAGCGCUUGAAACUCAAAGAAUUUGGCGGCUUGUUAACUACCUAGGGGAAUAUGCACCUUAAUCCGAUUAUCCCCGUCUCAUCUUACUAGGCCUUGAACAGCUGGUGUAUUGCCGUUGUCAGCUUGUUGUAGAACUAGCCCAACCUCGAAUUCAGGUCGUAAUACCGUCUAUGGCUUAAGGGAGUGGGUGUUACAGAAUACGGAGAGGUUGAAGGUGGACUUAG
rnacentral:rRNA from 1 species